CAAUAGCGUAUAUUAAAGUUGUUGCGGUUAAAAAGCUCGUAGUUGGAUUUCUGCUGAGAACGACCGGUCCGCCCUUUGGGUGUGUAUCUGGCUCUUUCUUGGCAUCUUCUUGGUGAACGUUGCUGCACUUGACUGUGUGGAGCGCUACCCAGGACUUUUACUUUGAGGAAAUUAGAGUGUUUCAAGCAGGCAUACGCCUUGAAUACAUUAGCAUGGAAUAAUAAGAUAGGACCUCGGUUCUAUUUUGUUGGUUUCUAGAGCUGAGGUAAUGAUUAAUAGGGAUAGUGGGGGCAUUCGUAUUUAACUGUCAGAGGUGAAAUUCUUGGAUUUGUUAAAGGCGGACUACUGCGAAAGCAUUUGCCAAGGAUGUUUUCAUUGA
rnacentral:rRNA from 1 species